rfam:Trichomonas vaginalis G3, whole genome shotgun sequence.
UCAUGGCGAAAUGGGAUGAACCAUACGUCUGAAUAAGGUGCCGAAAUGUACUAUCACUGAUACCAUAAAGGGAGUCCAUGUAUUUAGACAGCAGGUCGGUGCCCCUAAAAGCAGGUAUCCGCUAAAGAGUGUGUUAAAACUCACCUGCCGAAUACUAGGGCCCCGAAAAUGAAUGGCGCAUAUAGUACUACCGAUCUCAGACAUCAGUUCUAUUGAACUGAGAGUAGGGGGAUGUGGACAUUUUUGUGAAGGUGCAAUGUGAGUUGGACUGGAAGAAUGUCUAUUACAGAUCCUAAUUGAAGUAGCGAUUAUCCAGGCUUGUAUCCUGGGGGCUGAUGAGGAGUAGGGUUUCUGGACAACUUAAACAGAUCCAGAGUUAGUCGAUCCUAAUCUCAAUAAUGGGAGAAAGGGAGUACAGUUGAUAUUCUGUAACUGACAACAGUUCGCGGCAACGCAUACUAUUUUUCUCCGCCAAUCUUAUACCGUUGGUAGGGAUCUCUUUCCUACAUGACAGUACUAAUACCCAGGGAAACUGGUCAUCAGGCGAACUGCGGCGUUCUGCUGGCAAAACAUAGCUUCGGUUAUGUCAAUGGCUAUUGGAUUGGUCCAUGAAGCGAAAAAUAGUUUACUGUGUCACUCGUACCGAUAACCGCAUCAGGUCUUCUAGGUAAGUAGCCUAUGGCCAUUGAGGCAUGAUAGUUCAGGGAAUUCGGCCAAUUAGAGCUGUAACUUCGGGAUAAAGCUUGGCUCUGAUGAAAAUCAGAACCGAUUGUUACGCGGAGAGCCCAACUGUUUAAUAAAAACGUAGUGUCGCGCUGUGGUAGUAUAGCCAGUGAACGCGACAUGAAUCCUGCUCAGUGCUGUGUCUGUUAAUAUGGUUCAAGCCAACGAAGCACCGGUAAAUAGCUGGGGUAACUAUGACUCUUAUCAAAGUAGCGAAAUACCUCGUCACUUAAUUAGUGACCUGCAUGAACGGAGCUAUGAAGUUCUCACUGUCCCAAACUGUCUCUCAGCGAACCACUGUAUGGACGUCACUAGAAAUCAGCGGGAAGAAGACCCUGUAAGCCUCACUUUGUCUAGUCUUGUAUAGUCCUGCGGGGGUGUA